rfam:Schistosoma mattheei strain Denwood, Zambia genome assembly, scaffold: SMTD_scaffold0004471
GCACUGCUGAGGAGUCCCACAACAGGACGAAACGACUGUCUAGUGC